GUCAGCAGCCGCGGUAACACCGGCAGCUCUAGUGGUAGCAGUUUUAUGGGCCUAAAGCGUCCGUAGCCGGUUUAAUAAGUCUCUGGUGAAAUCCUGUAGCUUAACUGUGGGAAUUGCUGGAGAUACUAUUAGACUUGAGACCGGGAGAGGUUAGAGGUACUCCCAGGGUAGAGGUGAAAUUCUGUAAUCCUGGGAGGACCGCCUGUUGCGAAGGCGUCUAACUGGAACGGUUCUGACGGUGAGGGACGAAAGUUAGGGGCGCGAACCGGAUUAGAUACCCGGGUAGUCCUAACCGUAAACGAUGCGGACUUGGUGUUGGGGUGGCUUUGAGCUGCUCCAGUGCCGAAGGGAAGCUGUUAAGUCCGCCGCCUGGGAAGUACGGUCGCAAGACUGAAACUUAAGGAAUUGGCGGGGGAGCACCACAACGCGUGGAGCCUGCCGGUUUAAUUGGAUUCAACGCCGGACAUCUCACCAGAGGCGACAGCUGUAUGAUAGCCAGGCUGAUGACUUUGCUUGACUAGCUGAGGGGAGGUGCAUGG
rnacentral:rRNA from 1 species